GCAGUCGAACGCGAAAGUUUCCUUCGGGAAACAAGUAGAGUGGCGCACGGGUGAGUAACACGUAGGUAAUCUACCUUUGGAUGGGGAAUAACAACCGGAAACGGUUGCUAAUACCGCAUAAUGCAGCGGCACCUAAUGGUGACAGUUGUUAAAGCGGGGGAUCGAAAGACCUCGCGUCUGAAGAGGAGCCUGCGGCGGAUUAGCUAGUUGGUAAGGUAAUGGCUUACCAAGGCUACGAUCCGUAACCGGCCUGAGAGGGCGGUCGGUCACACUGACACUGACAUACGGGUCAGACUCCUACGGGAGGCAGCAGUCGGGAAUUUUGGGCAAUGGGCGAAAGCCUGACCCAGCAACGCCGCGUGAAGGAUGAAAUCCCUCGGGAUGUAAACUUCGCAAGAACGGGAAGAAUAAGCGGGGGGUAAUAUCCCCCGUGAUGACGGUACCGUUUGUAAGCUCCGGCUAACUCCGUGCCAGCAGCCGCGGUAAUACGGGGGGAGCAAGCGUUGUUCGGAUUUACUGGGCGUAAAGGGCGCGUAGGCGGUCAGCACAAGUCAGUUGUGAAAUCUCCGAGCUUAACUCGGAACGGUCAACUGAUACUGUGCGACUAGAGUGCGGAAGGGGCAUCUGGAAUUCUUGGUGUAGCGGUGAAAUGCGUAGAUAUCAAGAGGAACACCUGCGGCGAAGGCGGGUUGCUGGGCCGACACUGACGCUGAGGCGCGAAAGCCAGGGGAGCGAACGGGAUUAGAUACCCCGGUAGUCCUGGCCU
rnacentral:rRNA from 1 species